UACGUAGGGUGCGAGCGUUUAAUCGGAAUUACUGGGCGUAAAGCGUGCGCAGGCGGUGAUGUAAGACAGAUGUGAAAUCCCCGGGCUCAACCUGGGACCUGCAUUUGUGACUGCAUCGCUAGAGUACGGCAGAGGGGGGAUGGAAUUCCGCGUGUAGCAGUGAAAUGCGCAGAUAUCGGGAGGAACACCCGUAGCGAAGGCGGCACUCUGGGCCGGAACUGACGCUGAGGAGCGAAAGCGUGGGGAGCAAACAGG
rnacentral:rRNA from 1 species